rnacentral:sRNA from 1 species
GCUGCUUAACUAUCGAGCCACCAUUAAUACUUUCUGAAUUCGUCUAGUCGGGUGAUUAACCAGAUUCUAACUUAUUGAACAU